CUGAUCAUCAGUAAAUUUCACAUUUCAUUUGUAAAUGAAGGGAUCAGAGUCUGGAGGAAGAGUGGAGAGACACACAGUCCAAACUGCUUGAGGUCUAGUGUGAAGUUUCUACAAUCAGUGAUGGUUUGGAGAGUCAUGUCAUCUGCUGGUGUUGAUCCACUGUGUUUUAAUAUCAAGUCUAAAGUCAG